GAUGUACUCCCUCCGUUCCGAAUUACUUGUCGCAGGUAUGAAUGUAUCUAGAAGUAUUUUAGUUCUAGAUACAUCCAUUUCAGCGACGAGUAAUUUGGAACGGAGGGAGUAGGUG
rnacentral:pre_miRNA from 1 species